rnacentral:pre_miRNA from 1 species
CCUUAUGGGUGAACAAAGAAAAUGGUUUUCUGAUAUGGAAUCUACUCCUGGUGAAGAUGCUGUGGA